AGAGCUUGCUCUUCUUGGAUGAGUUGCGAACGGGUGAGUAACGCGUAUGUAACCUGCCUUGUAGCGGGGGAUAACUAUUGGAAACGAUAGCUAAUACCGCAUAACAAUGGAUGACUCAUGUCAUUUAUUUGAAAGGGGCAAUUGCUCCACUACAAGAUGGACCUGCGUUGUAUUAGCUAGUAGGUGAGGUAACGGCUCACCUAGGCGACGAUACAUAACCGACCUGAGAGGGUGAUCGGCCACACUGGGACUGAGACACGGCCCAGACUCCUACGGGAGGCAGCAGUAGGGAAUCUUCGGCAAUGGGGGCAACCCUGACCGAGCAACGCCGCGUGAGUGAAAAAGGUUUUCGGAUCGUAAAACUCUGUUGUAAGUCAAGAACGAGUGUGAGAGUGGAAAGUUCACACUGUGACGGUAGCUUACCAGAAAGGGACGGCUAACUACGUGCCAGCAGCCGCGGUAAUACGUAGGUCCCGAGCGUUGUCCGGAUUUAUUGGGCGUAAAGCGAGCGCAGGCGGUUUGAUAAGUCUGAAGUUAAAGGCUGUGGCUCAACCAUAGUUCGCUUUGGAAACUGUCAAACUUGAGUGCAGAAGGGGAGAGUGGAAUUCCAUGUGUAGCGGUGAAAUGCGUAGAUAUAUGGAGGAACACCGGUGGCGAAAGCGGCUCUCUGGUCUGUAACUGACGCUGAGGCUCGAAAGC
rnacentral:rRNA from 1 species